AGCUUUGCACAGUGGCAGUAUUAUAGCCAAUGAGGUUUAUCUGAGGCACAAUUAUUGCUAAUUGAAAACUUUUCCCAAUACCCCGCCAUGACGACUUGAAAUAUAGUUGGCAUUGGCAAUUUUUGACAGUCUCUAUGGAGA
rnacentral:snRNA from 1 species